GCUUCUGUUGCUGAUGCUGUCGUCGAUUUGCCGGCAGCAAUGUCUUUUUUUGUGCUCUUCCAAUCUUUGGUUUGGGGUUCUUGUCGUCAUACCCAUGUAUGUCGCCUCAUGGUUCGUGAUGCUAUACUUGGCUGGGACUUUGUGGACUCCUGAUCUUUCACGGUGUUCCGUGCAUCUUUUUCAUUGCGGAGCUUGCUGGGGGGCAUUGGUGCUCUCUGCAUUGUUAGCUUCCUUCCAGUUUUUCUUGCUAUUCCCCAGAUCCUGGUUAUCUGAAAGAGAAAGAGCUCAAAUAUAUAUAUAUAUAUAUAUAACAG
rnacentral:lncRNA from 1 species